UACAGAGGGUGCAAGCGUUAAUCGGAAUUACUGGGCGUAAAGGGCGCGUAGGUGGUUAUUUAAGUCAGAUGUGAAAUCCCUGGGCUUAACCUAGGAAUUGCAUUUGAAACUAGAUGGCUAGAGUAUGGUAGAGGGAAGUGGAAUUUCCGGUGUAGCGGUGAAAUGCGUAGAUAUCGGAAGGAACACCAGUGGCGAAGGCGACUUCCUGGACCGGCAUUGACGCUGAGGCGCGAAAAGCUAGGGGAGCAAACGGGG
rnacentral:rRNA from 1 species